rnacentral:rRNA from 1 species
UACGGGGGGGGCAAGCGUUGUUCGGAAUUACUGGGCGUAAAGGGCUCGUAGGCGGCCAACUAAGUCCGACGUGAAAUCCCCAGGCUUAACCUGGGAACUGCGUCGGAUACUGGAUGGCUUGAAUUCGGGAGAGGGAUGCAGAAUUCCAGGUGUAGCGGUGAAAUGCGUAGAUAUCAGGAGGAAUACCGGUGGCGAAGGCGGCCUUCUGGACGGUGACUGACGCUGAGACGCGAAAGCGUGGGGAGCAAACAGG